rnacentral:rRNA from 1 species
ACGGGAGGCAGCAGUGGGGAAUAUUGGGCAAUGGGCGAAAGCCUGACCCAGCAACGCCGCGUGAAGGAAGAAGGCCUUCGGGUUGUAAACUUCUUUUGUCAGGGACGAAGGACGUGACGGUACCUGACGAAUAAGCAACGGCUAACUACGUGCCAGCAGCCGCGGUAAUACGUAGGUGGCAAGCGUUGUCCGGAAUUACUGGGUGUAAAGGGAGCGCAGGCGGGACUGCAAGUUGGAUGUGAAAUACCGGAGCUCAACUCCGGGGCUGCAUCCAAAACUGUAGUUCUUGAGUGGAGUAGAGGUAAGCGGAAUUCCGAGUGUAGCGGUGAAAUGCGUAGAUAUUCGGAGGAACACCAGUGGCGAAGGCGGCUUACUGGGCUCUAACUGACGCUGAGGCUCGAAAGCGUGGGGAGCAAACAGGAUUAGAUACCCUGGUA